CAUGGAUUAAGAAAUGGCUGACAACAUUUGAGGAUAUGGAGAUGUACUGCACAUAGACCUUUUGGACUACGCCAAGCAAUUAAUCUGCGAGAGGAAGAGUCUUCACUGGUACCAAACCAGGAAUUCAGAGACAUGUGCCAGCACUUCGCUCUCGCUCUGCAGGCCUACUUGUUGUUCCUAGAGUAUUUAAAAGUAGAAUGGGAGGGAGAGCCUUCAGUUUUCAGGCCCCUCUUCUGUGGAACCAGCUUCCAGUUUGGAUUCGGGAGACAGACACUAUCUCUACUUUCAAGAUUAGGCUUAAAACUUUCCUUUUUGCUAAAGCAUAUAGUUAGGGCUGGACCAGGUGACCCUGAAUCCUCCCUUAGUUAUGCUGCAAUAGACGUAGGCUGCCGGGGAUUCCCAUGAUGCAUUGAGUUUUUCCUUUCCAGCCACUCACUAUGUGUUAAUAGACCUCUCUGCAUCGAAUCAUAUCUGUUAUUAAUUUCUGUCUCUCUUCCACAGCAUGUCUUUCAUCCUGUUUUCCUUCUUCACCCCAACCGGUCGCAGCAGAUGGCCGCCCCUCCCUGAGCCUGGUUCUGCCGGAGGUUUCUUCCUGUUAAAAGGGAGUUUUUCCUUCCCACUGUCGCCAAAGUGCUUGCUCAUAGGGGGUCAUAUGAUAUGAUUGUUGGGGUUUUCUCUGUAUUUAUUAUUGUGCGAUCUAUUGUACAAUAUAAAGCGCCUUGAGGCGACUUUUGUUGUGAUUUGGCGCUAUAUAAAUAAAAUUGAAUUGAAUUGAAUUGAAUUGAACAUUUUAGAAA
ensembl:lncRNA